CGGCGGUCGGGUGAGUAACGCGUGGGUAACCUACCCUGUACACACGGAUAACAUACCGAAAGGUAUGCUAAUACGGGAUAAUAUAUUUGAGAGGCAUCUCUUGAAUAUCAAAGGUGAGCCAGUACAGGAUGGACCCGCGUCUGAUUAGCUAGUUGGUAAGGUAACGGCUUACCAAGGCGACGAUCAGUAGCCGACCUGAGAGGGUGAUCGGCCACAUUGGAACUGAGACACGGUCCAA
rnacentral:rRNA from 1 species